GUUUGAUCCUGGCUCAGGAUGAACGCUGGCGGCGUGCCUAAUACAUGCAAGUCGAACGAGGCGCUUUUUGUAGCAAUACGAGGAGCGUCCUAGUGGCGAACGGGUGAGUAACGCGUGGGUGACCUGCCCCAAAGUGUGGGAUAACAGUCCGAAAGGAUUGCUAAUACCGCAUGUGGUCGCUGAGUUUAGAAGUUAGCGACUAAAGCAGCAAUGCGCUUUGGGAGGGACCUGCGUCCCAUCAGCUAGUUGGUAAGGUAACGGCUUACCAAGGCGACGACGGGUAGGGGACCUGAGAGGGUGGCCCCCCACAAUGGAACUGAAACACGGUCCAUACACCUACGGGUGGCAGCAGUAGGGAAUAUUGCACAAUGGGCGAAAGCCUGAUGCAGCAACGCCGCGUGCGCGAAGAAGGUCUUCGGAUCGUAAAGCGCUUUUCUGGGAGAUGAGAAAGGACAGUAUCCCAGGAAUAAGUCUCGGCUAACUACGUGCCAGCAGCCGCGGUAACACGUAGGAGGCGAGCGUUAUCCGGAUUCACUGGGCGUAAAGCGCGUGCAGGCGGUUCGGUAAGUUGGGCGUGAAAUCUCCCGGCUCAACUGGGAGAGGUCGUUCAAUACUACCGGACUUGAGAGCGAUAGAGGAAAAUGGAAUUCCCGGUGUAGUGGUGAAAUGCGUAGAUAUCGGGAGGAACACCAGUGGCGAAAGCGAUUUUCUGGAUCGUUUCUGACGCUCAGACGCGAAAGCUAGGGUAGCAAACGGGAUUAGAGACCCCGGUAGUCCUAGCCGUAAACGAUGUGAACUUGGCGUCGGUGGCUUAAACUCCAUCGGUGCCGAAGCCAA
rnacentral:rRNA from 1 species